rnacentral:rRNA from 1 species
UACAGAGGUCUCGAGCGUUAGGCGGAAUCACUGGGCUUAAAGCGUGUGUAGGCGGAUUGCUAAGUACCUUGUGAAAUCCCACGGCUUAACCGUGGAACUGCUUGGUAUACUGGCUGUCUUGAGCCACUUAGGGGCGACCGGAACAAACGGUGGAGCGGUGAAAUGCGUAGAUAUCGGUUGGAACGCCAAAGGUGAAAACAGGUCGCUGGGAGUGUGCUGACGCUGAGGCACGAAGGCCAGGGGAGCAAACGGG